AUUGAACGCUGGCGGCAGGCCUAACACAUGCAAGUCGAGCGGAUGAAGGGAGCUUGCUCCUGGAUUCAGCGGCGGACGGGUGAGUAAUGCCUAGGAAUCUGCCUGGUAGUGGGGGAUAACGUCCGGAAACGGGCGCUAAUACCGCAUACGUCCUGAGGGAGAAAGUGGGGGAUCUUCGGACCUCACGCUAUCAGAUGAGCCUAGGUCGGAUUAGCUAGUUGGUGGGGUAAAGGCCUACCAAGGCGACGAUCCGUAACUGGUCUGAGAGGAUGAUCAGUCACAAUGGAACCUGAGCACGGGUCAAGAUCCUUAGGGAGGCAACAGUGGGGAAUAUUUGGCAAUGGGCGGAAGCCUGGUCCAGGCAUGGCGCGGGUUUGAAAGAAGGCUUCGGAUUUUAAAACACUUUUAGUUGGGGGGAAGGGCAAUAAGUUAAAACCUUGCUGUUUUGACGUUACCAACAAAAUAAACACCGGCUAACUUCGUG
rnacentral:rRNA from 1 species